CGGGGUGUAGCGCAGUUGGUAGCGCACCACGUUCGGGACGUGGGGGUCGCUGGUUCGAGUCCAGUCACCCCGA
rnacentral:tRNA from 1 species